rnacentral:rRNA from 1 species
GACGUAGGUGGCGAACGUUAUCCGGAAUUAUUGGGCGUAAAGGGUGCGUAGGCGGCAUGAUAAGUUAUUGGCGGCAAAUCGAGGCUCAACCUCGUGGAAACUGAUAAUACUGUCUUGCUUGAGUGCAGAAGAGGUUAACGGAACUCCAUGUGGAGCGGUAAAAUGUGUAGAUAUAUGGAAGAACAUCAAUAACGGCGAAGGCAGUUAACUAUUCUGUUACUGACGUUGAGGCACGAAAGCAUGGGGAGCAAAAAGG